ACUUCACAUUUAUAUUAUAUUAUUAAUUUCAUCCCAUAAGAAAAGGAAAAAACAUUCUCAAAUUAGAGAGCAUACAUAAACUAAAGAAUGUAUUUUUCUCUCAAUUAUCCAAGUGUUCCUGACCAUAUGUGUUUGGAAAAUGUGUGAGAAGGGUGAUAUAGCAUCGAUAAUGGUGCUCUAAGCUUACACUCCAAGGAUAUCUGCAAGAUAAAAACCCAUUUCGACAUAAUUAAUGUACAUAUUACAAGCAAAAUAUUUUAAGAUCAACCCUUGAAAGGAGCAAUGUCCUUGUUGGAGCUGUUGACCUGUGAUGAUGCAUCAUAUUUGCUAAAUAGCCUAUAAGAGGAAAUAAAUGAAAGCAAAAUAUAGCAAAUCACAUCAACAAAUGUAUUGAUAUCUGUUUCAUUUUAAUAAGUAAUUUAUCAUAUAUAUAUUAUGAGUACAACCGAUUUAUAGUAUGUACAUGACAUAAAGAUAAUUAUGAAUUCAGUUUUUAAACAUACAAUUUUGAUAUUAUGUUAUGAGUCAAGAGAAUGAAGGACACGCAAGUUCCACGAUCAAGUUAAGGUUUCGCGACCAAAACCGCUCCCGAAUCAUAGUCAACCACAUCCUCAGUUGAACCUAACUCCCCUCUGAAUUUUUCAUGGGCUAUUAUCAGCACCACCCCAAUUUCGACACUUGUCUGCACCAGAACUGGCUGAGAGACGUGAAAAGGGCUUUGCUUCAACUGGAAUCAGAAGUGAUUGCGACAACAUCGCUGUGGAGGACGAGUGUUUUUGCUGCUGGCUGAGGUUGAGGAAGAUGAAGUGGACCAAGGACAAUUGGAGUCAACGUAGACUAUUGACACCACCCCAGAUGAAUCACCACAAGUCCAGUUGAGUCUUCAUGCUCUAGUUGGGUCAGAAGUCACAUACACCCUUAGAUUAUUGGGCCAAAUCAUGGAACAUUUGGUCCACAUUUUAGUAGAUAGAGAGGAUGUUUUACCUCGUACCCCUACAUUUAUUCCUACACCCUUACAUUUUAUAAAAAUAUCAAUUUUAUUCUUAUAUAUUUUAAACUAAUUUAUUAUUUUAUUUUUAAUUUUUUUAAAAAAAUUGUGUACCGGAGGGUAUUACAAAAGAGUUUCGGUAGUCAUUUUUCAAUUUUUUUUUAUAUACCGGAAGACUUUACAAAAGAGUUUCAGUAGUCAAUUUUUGUGUACCGGAAGACUUUGCAAAAGAGUUUCGAUAGUCAACUUUCGAACAUUUUUUAAAAUAUUUUUUGUGUAUCAGAAAGACUUUGCAAAAGAGUUCCGGAAGUCAAUUUUUGUAUACCGGAAGACUUUGCAAAAGAGUUCCGAUAGUCAUUUUUCAAGUAUUUUUUAAAUAUUUUUUUUGUGUACCGAAAGACUUUGCAAAAGAGUUUCGAUAGUCAAUUUUUGUGUACCGGAAGAUUUUGCAAAAUAGUUCCGGUACUCAUUUUUCAAAUAUUUUUUUAAUUUUUUUUUUUGUAUACCGGAAGACUUUACAAAAGAGUUCCGAGUCAAUUUUUGUAUACUGGAACUCUUUUGCAAAAUCUUCCGGUAAACAAAAAAAAAAUUAAAAAAUACUACCGGAACUCUUUUGCAAACUCUUCCGGUACGCAAAAUAAAAUUUAAAAAAUAUUUAAAAAUAAAAUAAUAAAUUAGUUAAAAAUAUAUAAGGGUAAAAUUAAUACUUUUUAUAAAAUGCAGGGAUACAUAGAUAAAUAUAUGGGUAUAAAGUAAAGUUUUGAGAUAGAGAACUACCCACAACUUUAUCCAAUCGAGUGCCCUUGACACUCCCCAUUUAAACUUCACAUCCCAUAUUUAUAACACUUUUCCUGUUAUACCCUUAGAGCACUUUUACUAUUAUACCCUUUUGUAAAAAUUAAUUUUUUUGAAAUUUUUCAAUUUUUCAAUUUUUUUACUGGAAAUUUUUCAGGUAAAAAGAUAUUUCCGAUAAAAAUAUGCAAAGAUUUUAAAUUUUCAAAAAAAUGAAUUUUACAUUAUCAAAACUUUAAGUACACUAUCGGAGAUUCAAAAUUUCAGGUACAAUAUCGUAAAUUUUCUGUAGUAUUAAAAAAAUUUAAUUAAAUAUGAAUUAUCGAAAAUUUUAUUUUAUUUGAAAUUUCCGAUAUAAAAUAGAACAUCAUAAUAUUUUUUAAGUUCACGUAAAUUUUAAAAAUUCCGAUAUUACUGAAAAUUAUAAAUAUAAUAUCGAAGAUUUAGUGUGUACACGAAAUUCUGAUAUAUCUACUAAAAAUUUCGUGUUUUAAAUUUUUUUAGGAGAUAGUUUUGAGAUUAUAAAAUUAUAGAAGGUGUCAGUGGCAGGAAGAAUUCUCGCACACCGAAGCACUCAGGUUACGGUUGGGAGUGGACAAGAGCCAAAAUGCUCAUAUGUCUACUUGGGGUUGAAAACCACAAUUCAGGAUAUUUGGUAUAUUAUAGAAUUGUACAUAAGUGGUUUUGGAAGCCCAAUGGCUUAAGAAGCCAGGCCUAGUUCUAAUGGAUUACCAAACUCUCACAAUGAAAUUUUUUUCAGCAAGGCUCUUGCACUGAAUUGGAAGGUGAGACUUCUACUUACCCUAUCCCCCUUUAAUUUUCACAAAUAUUAUAAAGAGUAGUCAAGAUUAAUUAUGAAGUCUGACUCUUUUCCCUCAAAAUUUAUGAUCCAAACUUUGAACAUCUCAUCCUUCCCUUGACACCUCACACAGACCCCAAAAUACAUGAAUUACUCCAUCAGGUUGAUGACCUCUUCACUGAACCCACAAAUUUACCCCAUCAAGGCUCAAUGAUCAUCACACAAACCUUACCUCUAAUGAUAUCCCAGUCAAUUUGAUGUGAAGGACGGUCAUCGUCUUCUUCAAUGACACAUUGAUGUUCAGCCCCACAAUGGAAGUUCAUUUAAAACAUUUGGAGCAAAAUUUCCAAAUUCUAUUCCACCAACAAUUUCAUUUAAAGGUUUCCAAAUGUUCAUUUUUCCAACCUCAUAUAUCAUACUUGGCCCACAUUUUUAUGGCAGGCCUUGUGUUAGCGGAUCUAUGGAAGAUUCAAGCAGUGAUUGACUGGCCCCUUACUAAAACCGUCAAGGAAUUGCGAGGAUUUUUAGGGUAUGUUUGGAUUGGUGGUAUGGGAUGGAAUUAAAUGGAGUGGGGUGGUAACUAAUUAGAUUCCAUUGUUUGAAUUUGCAAAUAAUGGAUGGAAUGGAAUUGAAUGGAAUGGAACAUGAUGGAAUCCAUUCCAUCUAAUUCCAUCCAAAUCUCUAUUUUUUGUUCCAUCCAAUUUGGGGUGUAUGUGAUGGAAUGAGACAUUUUUAAUGAAAUAACCAAACAAUGGAGUGGGAUUUAUAUUCCAUUCCGCUCUGCUCGAUUCCGCUUCGUCAUGUUCCAUUCCGCUCCGCUCCAUUAUGUUCCAUCAAUCCAAACAUAGCCUUAAGGUUGUCUGAAGAAAUAUGCACUCAUAUGGUCAAACGAAGAACAACAGUCAUUUGAAGAAUUGAAAUGAGCUUUACCAACAACCCCUGCUUUGAUUCUACCAAACUUCCAGGAACCAUUUGUAGUGCAAAUUGAUGCUUCAGCAAAGGCAAUAGGCGUAAUGCUACUAUAUGGAGAUAGUACGAUUAAGCGAUAGAGGCAAUUAACGGUGUACGCGGGUUGGGUUGGAUCGGGUUUGGCCUAACCCGUUACCCAAUCCGUUCAAACUUCAAUGGAUUGGGUCCGUCAUCCAACCCGUAAUUUCAUUGUCGAAAUCGACUUGAACCGACCCGUUUAUUAAUGGAUUGGGUUGGGUUGGGUUCGUGGGUUGAAUUUAAAAAAUAUAUAUGAUUCUUUUUAUCGGUUUUAAAAAAAAAUUAACAUAACUCAAUAUAAUUGUACUCAUUUGUAACACUCAAGUUCAAUGAAACACAUCAUAUAAUAUCUAAUAAAAUUCAUCUACACGACAUAAUACUUUAUAAUAGUAUAAAAUUUAACAAGACACGUUAUUUCCAAAAAAUACAUAAGUUAGAAAUGAUACAAAAGAAAAUAAGAAACAACAUUUAACAAGACACGUUAUUACAUGGUCUCCCAAAGAGCAUCGUCUACGAUUGUGAUUCAGUAUGUGUCACAAAUGUUGUACAAAUUUAUUCAAAUUCAGCGGAACAUUACUUCGAAUCAAAUUGUUGUAUCACCCUUAAACUGAAGGUCACCAACGGGACCAUCGAACAAUACUUGUGUGCAUUGGCCCAGGCCAAGCCAAGCAAUUGGUUUAGUUUCUUACCAUGGGCGGAAUACCAUUAUAACAUAUAUUAUCACACUACUGCGGGUCUUACGCCCUUUCAGGUCAUGUUUGGAAAGCCUCUUCCCUCAAUACCUUCAUACACAUUUGGAUCCUCUUCAACGAAUGCUUGUGAUAUGUCGUUGGCUGAUAGAGAAGCUAUUUUAAAAUUGCUUUGAUAAAAUUUGGAGAAGGGUCAAAAACAUAUGAAUCAUUUAUGCACACGGACGUGAAGUAGAGUUUGAGAUAUGGAACUUGGCUGUGUUGCAAAGGUACGGAUAUGUACCCGAUACGGGUACUAAUACGGAAUAUGACAUUUUUAGAAAAACUAAGAUAUGGGUACGCAAGUAUAAAGCCAUAUGUGCUCCGAUUUUUCUCAGCAGAAGAUGAAUAACUUCAUUGUGCAAGGAGUUUAAAUGCAAUAGAUUUAAGUUUAGGGAUUGAAGAUCCAUAAGUUAUCCAUCAUUCCUUUGGUUUCAAGAUGAUUGAUCUUGCAACAAAUCAAAUUGGCCAAACUCUACAUCAACACUUGAAAAGCCCAUUAAAAAAAGUCUAAAAUUAUACCAUUAGAAUAAAAAUAUUGAGUUUGCGUACCCAAUAUGUACUUGUCGGAGUAUUGACUUAAAAUAAAAUUUAAAAAAAUAGGUACGGUGUUGCGUACUCAAUACGUACCUUACGAGUAAGCGUACCGGUACCCGAUCCCAGUACCGGUACUUUACCUAAAAAUGGAGUACUCAUGCAUCACAAUGGUCACCCCUUUAGAGAUCUUGGUCAUUAGAGAGGAAUUGGUUGAUGAAGAAAUUCAACACCAAAUCCUAGUGAAAUGGCAGAAACUUUCUCCUGACGACAUAUCAUGGGGAACUUAUGACACUCUGUCAUCAUACAAUUUUUACAGGCAUUAUUUUUAUCAUUUGGAGUUGUUUUUGAGUUAAUUGAGUGAAAAUCGUAGAAGAAGGAGUGAAUACUUAAAUAAGUUAAGGAUAGAGGAACAAAGAUUAUAAUUUGUAAAUUCAACAAGCAAAAGGUAAAAAGGCUACUGAAAAAAUGGUAUGUGCGGCCUCUAGCAUCGUGUACACGAUGAGGCGCGAAGGAAGAACCGUGUGCGUAAUGGAAAGCAUUGUGUGCACCAUGAUGACGUUAAUGUCCAAUCGUGGAUGUUAAUAAAUCUACCUUGUGCUAGAUGGUGCUUAGAAAUCAUGUGUUUUUACUAUUUAAAAGGUCAUAAAGUGGAUUUUAUGAGGGUUGGCAACUUUGGAGAUUGAAGUGAUGAAAAGGAACUAUGAGAGCUAAGUAAAUUAGGUUCUCCACCAUUGGAGGCCAUCAUUUUCAUAUUUUUUCAUGUACCUCUCUUUUACACUUAAUGUAUUGCUUUUCGAGACAAAUAAGUGCAGUCAUCAACAGUGAGAAUUAAGGGAUUCGAAUAAGAGCAUAUCGUUUUCUCAUUUGAUAUCUUAUUCAAGGUUUUCGUAUUUUCAAUAUAACUCUCAAGCAAACCCUAAUUUUACUUUUCAAAUAGUACAUUUGCUAAAUUUGUCAUCAAAUUUUUGACGCCAUUGUCGGAGAUUGUUGAUAAUUUUAACAAGACAAUUUGAUUUUUGCUACAUUUAAUUUUAUUAUUAUUUUUUAUUUUUAUUAUUUUAUUUGAUUUGUUUUAGAAGUUUAUUUUAAAUCUUUAUUGGCUUUAGUUGUUGUUUGUUAUAGUGCUAUUGAGGUAUCUUGUUUGUUUUUAUGUGAGGUUCGAGUUCAACAUUGAUAUCGUUGGAUUCAGAAAAAUCAAAAAUACCUUAAGAGCAAUCUGGAAAGCCAAAAGAGAAACAAAACAAGCUAAAGUGGAACUAAAAUAAGAUAUAUUGGAUAUGACAACCCCAUCGAGACAAACAAUGGGAGAUUAUUGUCGAAGGACUGAUGUUGGACAAAUUUCAUUGGGGUUUCAACCUCCUAACCUUGUCACUUUUAACAUAAAAAACCAUGUGCUUUCAGGUUUAAGAGAGAAUAUAUUCGAUGGACAAGCCAUCAGAGAUCCUUAGGGGAUGGGACAUAAUCUAAGUCAUACACAUCCUUUACCACUUAAAAUAGCACCACACUCUCUACAACCAUAACACAAGACAAACCUAACUACCCGCCUGCAAUCAAGUAGCACUGACCUCCAACAAUGCCUCUCACCUCACGUGAGUUGGACCCCUAAACAACCUCAAAUACCACCGUACAAGUAUUAUCGCCUCCAUGAGAAAACUUUCACCACUAAAAUGUGUUAUACGCCUACUAAGACCUCUAAGUCUCCUUGCCCUUGCAGGGGGAACAUGCACAUCUGUAUUGUUUGACCAAUACAUCAUCUAAAAACUUUGUUAAUUAAAUCUUCAUUCAAAAAAUUAUCCAUAAUUUUUAAAUGAUUAAAAAUGUGAAUAAAUUAUUUUUCCAUCUCCAAGAUAUUUUCCUCAAGUUUCAUCAUAAACAAUUCAUACUCAUGGAUCAAUGUGUUCAUUCUACCUCUUUUUACUUUGGUUAUACUUUUAUGGGUAACUUGAAGGAUGUUCCAUAUUUUUUUGCAUAAUUAAAGUGAGAAAGUGGGAAAAAAAACUCAUAAAUAAUGAGAGCAUUAGUACUAGUGAUAAUCAUUUUAGCUUUCAAACUAUAUCACACAUUUUCUUUAUCCUCUUUGGCCUAAAGAUCACUAGGUUUGUUUUCCACAAAGAUACAUAUGUCAUAAUACAUCCUCCUCUAUAAAUAUUUACAUAUUCUUUUUACAAUGAAUAUACCACUCUCAUUAGAAAAUAAGGGUUUGUUUUAAUGAAUCGUUUGAAAUCAUCCUACCUAUUGAAACAAUUAGCUUUAUAAUAAGAGUUAAACACCGAUGUCACUUGUCGAUCAAACGAUUUUAAACACAAAAUAAAGGUGAAUUGGGUUAUUUGGGUUUUAAAAAAAAUAUUAAAAAUUUAAAUUUAAGGUUAGUCAUUUUAAGAAAUAAGAUGUACAUAUAAAAAUAAAUAGAAAAAUCAUACGAAGAUUUAUAUUGGUUCGGUGAUGACAAUUUUGUCAUUACAUGAUUUUUAUGAGUAUUUGCGAUGAAUUCGAUGAAAUCUCAAGUUAAAGAUGAGAUAAAUAUGAAUAAGUGUGAAUAAAAUGAAGAGGUCAAAGAAAUAGAGCAAAGUCAAGAAAUCGAGAAGAAAUUGAGAAGAAACGAGCAAUUUUCAGCAUAAUUUACAUCUUGACAUCUAUCAAGUAAAUUGAUCAUAUCUGGAGUUUCGUAACUCAUUUUGACGCGCUUUUUUAAAUGAAGCUAGAAUAAAUAUCUACAUUUUGGAAUAAUCAUGCGCACGAUGAAAAGGACCGCGCGUGAAAUACAGCAUGUUCAAAAUCAUGCGCGCGAUGGAAAAGUAUCACGCGCGCGAUGGACUGUUUUCAGGGCUUUUCUGACGCGUUUUGACUGCUUCAAAAGGGGAAUUUUGGUACUUUUUCAAGGGUUCUGUAACUUUACAUGAAAAGUAACGAUUUACAACACCGUAAGACAUAUUUGGAGAGCAUUUGAAGCCAUUUUAGGCCAAUUCUUCUAGGGAAUUCUUAUGCAAACCUCUUAUUAAUAUUUGGUAUUGUAAUUUCAAUUAUCAGUAUCUAGUUCUCUCUAUGUUAGGUUAUAUUUUGAUGAACCAAUUACAAUAUUGUAGUGCAAUAUGUUGAUUUGACUUUUUAUGAAUUCUUUAAUCUAUAAUUCUAUUCAAUUGUUUCUUGUUCGUAAUACUUUUUAUGUGAGAUACUCUUUUAAUUUGAUUUUGGGCACAUAGGGAAUACUAACCAUUAAUCUAUAUGUUAGACCUAGGUAAAUUUCCAUGCUUACGAUGGUUAACUAGGGAUAAGAAACCCCAAGUAAUGUGAUCGGUAAAAUAGCAAGUGUACUAUUCGCACCAAUGUAGUUAUAAAAAGGGAGUUAUCCCGAGUAUCGAUCUCGAGGACUGCGUAGAAAGUAUCAAUUUUUAGAAUAAUUCAAUUGAACAAAAGUUCAUAUGGGGUUUGAUGAUAGUUUUCACAACUGAUAAGAAAUAAAAAUAUAAAGCGUAUAAAAACAGUUUGACCAAUAUGAGAAAUAAUGCUAAGGUCAGGUGUAUGAAUUGCUGUGUAUUCCACUUUUUCCAUAUCAUAUAAACAAUCAUUUAUUAUAAUUCAAAACAGUUUCUCUAGAUAGUUUCUCUAAUUCCUUAGCAAAAACCAUUUAACAGCAAUUUCACUCCUAAUCCUUAGUCAAUCAAGAUGUCUUGAAGAAUAUUGAUGUAUCAAAAUUUACGGUAACCAGAGUUUGAUCAUCAUUCCUAAGUGAUUAAACCGGCGUUAUUUACAACACGUUGAUAAGGGUUUGUCCGACCUAAAACCUUAACAAAAAAUCAGAAUUUCAUUUGUCCGAUAAAAUUAAGCAUUAAGCACGUUGUAUAAUAAUUUGAAUUACGAAAACAUCAAUGAUUAUAAGAACAUGGAUCAAAUAUUCAUACAGUAGCAAUUCAGGGACACCCCCUAGCAUGGGGGGUUUAGCCUCUCAUAAUAUUUAAAGAUAAAAGAUUACAAAUCAAAGACAUUACAAGUUGUUGUUGAUGAACGUUGAUCUUCAAUUUCUUCCGAUCUUGAAGAUUUGUUCUCUUCUCCAUACCUUGCUUCCUCUUUUCGUCUCUUUUCUUUUCACGAUCCAAAAAGUCCCUCUUUCAGUGCUUCCCAUCCAACUAAAUAGUUUCCAGACAACUAAAAGUAAUGCCAAAUGCCCAAAAUGCCCUCUGGAUAUCCACAGGAGUAAAACUUAGAAGAAUCAGAAUUUUUAACGAAAUGGCCAACACGGGCCGUGUCAAGCGACACUGUUGCCCGUGUUGGCUCCUCUGUAGAAGGAGAAGACACGUCCUGCUGACACGGGCCGUGUCAGGUGACACGGGCACCCGUGUCAGCCCACUGUUUUAUGGAUUCUUUGUUGGCUGGUGUGCACAUGCUAACACGGGUCGUGUCAGGUGACACGGGCACCCGUGUCAGCCCACUGUUUUAUCCGUUUUUCGCUUUUUCUUCAGCCUCUAACAUCCCUUCUUCCGGUACAUACUUGCGGACUUUUAAUCAAACUUGGAAACCAACAUUCUACACAAAAACGCAUAAAAUGCGACAAAAUGCGGAAAACUACUAAUGAAACAUAAAACAAACGGAAAUUCAAAAACUGCAAUAAGCGGAAGAAAUCACAAAAAUAAGACGUAGAAGUUACCGAUUCAUGAAGAUUUCAUGUUGGAUAGAUGAUGAAAACUGAGUGUAAAUGGUGGCCGAUCAUAAUGGUUAGUGAAUUAACGUUUUGUUGCAUCGCAUAAUCAUGCUUACGCUAGUCGACUAGGGAUAGAAAGCUUUGAGUAGUGAUUAAUGAGUUAUACCGCAAGGGAUUGGUUAUAGCGGUUUUGUUAAUUCGUCGAGGGAUUGUAGUGAUGAGACUAUUCAAGUAAGGUAUCAAACAUCAAUAAAAAUAGAGAAAUAAGAUAUUCUAUACACAACCUGACCACUUUAGUGAAUUUGUUAUAACACUUUAUUUUCCUUUCGCAAUUCAAAUCAACCCCACAUCCCCCCCCAUCCACCCACUCACCCAUCCAAUUUACUAUUUUCUAUGUAUUGUACAAUAUUGUCUUGUUAAAUUAGCAGUCCCUGUGGAUUCAAUUUUUUUUAUUACUGCGACAUUAUUGGUACCACAUUACAUGUGCUUAUAAGCUCUAUUGUUCUGUCACCAACAAAGUUAAAUUCAGCAGAGAUAUCAUUAUGAAAGAAUCAGAAGUGUGGGAUCGGAACAAGUGUCAAUCAAACUAUGGUGCAGUGUUAACACCUGAGUAAACUUCUGAAGAUAUUCCAGACUUUGAAGGAGAAUCUGCCUCUGAAGGAGAAUCUUCUCCUGAAGAUGAGUCAGAGUCUGAAGGUGACACUAAUACUGAAGUCGAGUCUGAAGGUGAAUCUGAUUCUGAUCUAGAUUUUGAUGAUGAUCCAGACUUUGGUGGUAAUCAUGCCUCUAAAGGUGGUUCAUCCUAUAAAGGCGGUCCAGCCUCUGAAGGUAAUCUAACAUUUGAUAUUGUUCCAACAUCUGAAGAAGAUUUUAAACAAGUUCAGAUACCACAAAGAAUCAGACAAAUACCAAGAAGAUUUGCAGAGUUACAUGUUGCAAGAUAUUGAGAUAGACUCUGAAGGGGAAGUCAUUCAGUGUGCCAUGUUAGUAGACUCUGGAUCAGUUAGUACUGAAGAAGCUCUCAAGAAGAAAGUGUGGCUAAAGGUCAUGAAAGAAGAACUUGAGGAUAUAAAAAGAAACAAGACCUGAGAGUUGAUGAGCUUCCAAAGAACAAGAAAGGCAUCAAUGUAAGAUGGGUUUAAAAGUUGAAACUGAAGCCAGAUGGAUCAACUGGAAAACACAAAGCAAGGUUAAUAGCUAGAGGAUUUCUACAAAAAUAUGGAUUAUAUUACUUUGAGGUGUUUGCACCUCUAGCUAGACAUGAAACAAUCAGAUUGGUGAUUGUUAUGGCUGAUAAUAAAAAUUGGUCUAUGAUACCUUUAGAUGUGAAAUCUGCAUUUCUGAGUGGUUCUUUACAAGAGGAAGUUUAUGUGUCAUAACCUCCUAGAUUUAUGAAAAAUAAUUCGGGAGGAAUGGUGUACAAGUUGCAGAAAUCCUUGUAUGGACUAAAACAAACCCCUAGAGCUUAGAAUUUGAAAACUGAUUCAUUUUUCAAGCUUCAAGGAUUCUGAAAAUGUGAGACGGAGUAUGUUGUUUAAGUUCGACAUACAUAUGAUAUCACUAUAAUUAUGGAGUAUCUCUAUGUUGAUGACAUAUUUCUAACUAUGAGUUGUUCAUAUGACAUAUCUAAGUUCAAUGAGGUGUUGAUGAAUGAGUUUGAGAUGACUGGUCUAGGAAAUAUGGUAUACUUUCUAAGGAUGAAGAUUCUUUACUCUGAUAAGGGUAUAAUUUUCCAUAGGCUGAAUAUGAAUUUGAGCUUCUUAAGAGAUUUAAGCUAAUAUAUUGCAAGUCCGCAAUCACACCUAUUGAAGUAAAUCACAAGUUGGAUUUUAAUGUUGAGAGUGAUGAUGUAGAUGCUACAACUUUUAAACUGUUGGUUGACUCAUUGAGAUGUCUCUACAAUACCAUACCUGACAUUUGUUAUGCAAUUAGAAUUGUGAGUAGGUUUAUGAACAAAUCAAAGUGGUCACAUUACCAAGUUGUUGUCAGGAUACUUAAGUAUAUUAAGGGGACUCUGAAUUAUGGAGUUUUGUUUUCUUUUGGUGUUGAAUCUGAUUCAGAGCUGAUAUGUUAUUCAUACUCUGAUUGGUGUGGAGACAAAGUUGACAUAAGAAGUACUUUUGGAUAUUUUUUCAAGUAUCCAGGAGGUCUUAUUUAUUUGUGCUCCAAGAAGCAACCAGUGUUUGUAUUGUAACCUGUGAAGCUGAGUACAUUGCAAGUGUUUUGUCAGCUUGUCAAACUGUUUGGAUUCUGAAUUUGUUGCAGGAUCUGAAGAUCAAUGUGAGCAAGCCUGUGAAGUUAAUAUUGACAACAAAUCAUCUAUAAGUCUUGCCAAGAAUCUAGUGAUGCAUGGAAGGAGCAAGCACAUUGACACAAAAUUUCAUUUUCUGAGAAAUCAAGUUCAGAGUGAAGUGCUUGAAGCUGUUCACUAUAGCACUCAGAAGCAACUUAUGGAUAUGUUGAUCAAAGCAAUCAAGACUGCACAUUUUAUCCAUUUGAUGGAUGGAAUUUGUGUUGUUGAUUUUAGCCUUGAAUAUGGAUUAAAGAUGAUGUUAAAGUGUAAUACAAAUUCAUAUUAGUUGUAAUUUAGAUUAAAUUUUAUUUAGAGUGGUUCUGAUGAUAUAAAUUAUGAAUCACAUUUCAAUUGUAACAGAUUCUGAGUCAUAAUUAAUUUUUCAAUUUUGUUAGAAAGCUAAUUACAAAUUUCUUUUCUCUCUUCCAUCAUCUUCUUCAUCUUCAAUUUUGUGCUCCAACAAUUUUUACGCCGAAUUUUUACCCAUGUUGAGUUUGCAAUCUUUAUUUCAGUUACAAUGCUUCAAGAGAAUUAAUCGAUAUAUUUUAUUCUCUCAUCUCUCUUUAUUGCCAUACAAAAUCUUCUCAUUGCAAGUUAGUUAUCCCAACAAUGUAACCAUGUCUCUUAAUUAUAAAGAAAAUAAAAGUGAAAUGCAUUAAAACAAAAAUGAUCACUGUCACCAACAAUUAUGGUUCCAUAUAAACAUUACUAUAACUUACAAGUCAUGAGCAAAACAAUCAAUUAGGCAAUAUAUCACCUCUUCAAAAUAAAGUGAUGGAAAAAAAUCUCUUUACUUAUAGCUUCUAUAAAGUUUUUUUUUUAAUUCAGAUGAAAUUUAUGUUGAUGAUCAAUACCUGAAUUUGUGUUCUAUAAGAAAGUUUAUCUUAUACUAUUUGUUUUCCUGACAUUUCCAAAGCAAACAUAUAAAUCAAAUACUUGUUUUAGUUAAACAAUAAGUUGGAAGAGAAAAAAAGCAAAGGAUAAAACAGAAAAAAAUUACCUUGACUGUCUUCAACUAUACAAACGUCAAGAAUACACCUAAGCAAUAUUCUAUAAUAGUAGGAAAUUCCUGAUGCAAAUGUAUACUAUGUCCCAAUCACAUGCAUUUCAAAUUG
rnacentral:lncRNA from 1 species